CCCCUUCUGGCCCCUCUCAUUCCCCCCACCUCCGGUCUCCCUCGCUGCCGGCGCGCCCCCACCUCCAUCCUCCCCUGCCGCCGGCGCGCCUCCCCCGCCCCCGCCCCAGCCCCCUACCUCCCCCGCCACCGGAGGGCUUGGAUCGGGGAGUCCAUGGCCGGCGGCGGCGUUCGCUCCUGUCCUGGACUCCCUCCGCCCGACGCCGACGACGCCAUGGCUCGAUCUACCCCUGUCCCAACCUCUCCUGCUGCUGGAUGGGAAUCCGCUUCUGGGCGUUGGGGAUGCAAUGGCGGCGCGAAGGACGUUCGGCGCAGCUGCUCCCGCCGCCCAGCUUCUCUUGUUUUACGUGCUUUGCUGGCAGCCUAUGGCACAGAGGGGCCGCUCCUUAGCCGCCAAGGCCACCGCCGCCAUCCCCCUGCAGCUUGACGCCACCGCGCCGCUGGAGCUCAAUGGCCACUGUCGUGCUAUCUAGUACGGAGUAGUACGUAAUCCCUAGUGGCCUAGUCCCUGGUCCUCCACUAAAUUCGUCACGAUUUUUGCUGUCAUCUCUUCCUCAUCCUCGUCGAGCGAAGUGCUCGCUAGCAGGAGGCGUCGCCGCACCUUCCCCUCGCCUGUGUAUCCCCCCUCCCUCACUAUCCGCAGCGGAGCGUGUGCUGGUAAGAAGAGGCGCGGCCGCGCCUUCCACUUGCUAUGUACUGUAUUCCCCCAUCCUCGUUCACAGCUUCUCCCAUUUCUCUGGUUGGUGUUACUUUCAUGAUUUUUUAGAUGUAGCUUUAGUAUUAAUAAUUACUUUUAGGAGUUAAAUAGAUGUAGUUUUUAUGUUAAGAGUUACUUUCUUGAUUUUUUAGAUGUAGCUUUAGUAAUGACAAUUGGAUCAUCUCAGUUCGAGGUGGUUUCUAAAAAAUUGAUCAUACAUGACAUACUUGUUUCUGUUUGCAGAAAAGUGCAAGGAGGGGUUGGACUGUACAUAGUCAGCUGCAGUUAUUCUUCUUCCUAAAAGCACAAUGGAAAUUUCUUGUUAACUUUACGUUUUUAUACAGAAGAGUUAGCUCAGCCCUGAACUUGCACUAUGUAUAUUCAUUUUAGCAGUAUGAAUAUUGUAUCAAACUGACAAUCCUCAGUUUUAUACACAUCAUUCACAAUAGUUUGGGAUCCAUUUGUCUUGGCCUGCAGCAGUUUAGACCUUCUCGUUGGGUACUGCUCUUCCUGGAGUCUAAUACUUAUUUUUUUUCUAUCCAUUUUCCUACAUGUUUACUAAGAGUGAAAAAAUAUAUGGAAACGCCACAUUUCUUUAGAUUGCUCUUGCCACUGUUUAGGGUACCUUACUAGUAGAUGUACUCCCUUCGUUCCAUAAUUCUUGUCAAAAUCUUACAUGUAUCUGACACUUUUGAGGAAUAGAUACAUCCAUUUUUGGGCAAAUUUGAGACAAGAAUUAUGGAACAGAGGGAGUAGUUUUUAUGUUAAGAGUUACUUUCAUGGUUUUUUAGAUGUAACUAUGGAAGUACGGUGUAACUUUUGGAUGAUUAGCUCUGUAAACAAAGUAAUUUUAAGAUGAUUAGCUCUGUAAACAAAGUAAUUUUAAGAUGAUUAGCUCUGACAGAGCACCAAAAUUAAUUGCAUGCACAGAAUGUUUGUUGUACACAUGCUUGUAACUUUAUUUGCUAUGUAAUUUAGACAUCAUGACAUUUGUUGCCUGUUUUGUGCACACCUUGCUAAUGGUGUUGCUUGCCGAUGUUUAACCCUAGUCGGGCUUCCUGCUGCUCCCAUCCUGUCCAGCUCCAGCGUGGCGCCGUUUCCAUCCAGAUUCGUGUGGACAUAGAGAUGUCCUGCCCCAUCUAGUACGCCUUCUUGCUGAGAAGCGAGGGUGGAAACGAAGGGGGUUUGUAAGGCUUAGGGGUUUGCAGCGAGGUUACUUCCGGAUGUGCACGGCAUUUAGUGAACAAAUUUCUGCUCUUCUUGGGUUAAUGAAAUGCUUUCCUCAUUGGUCAGUCAAACUGCUGGCAGAACAAGUUGCGUCCAAGGCCAGUAGGUGCAAUUUUGUUCUUUUUUUUUUGACAGCUUGCAAUUUUGUUCUAUUUUUUUUUUGACAGCUUGCAAUUUUGUUCUAGUUACUUUCUUGGAUUUACAGAAUUACAUUUUUGCGGGUAAGAUUUGCAGAAUUACUUUGAAGCCAACAGCAAAUUUUGUAACAACCAUAUUGUCUAAUUUUCUUCCCAGAUGUAAUUCUUAUGCAUGCUGUAAAUAUCACAUCAA